rnacentral:misc_RNA from 1 species
GAUGAAGAACGCAGCGAAAUGCGAUACGUAAUGUGAAUUGCAAAUUCAGUGAAUCAUCGAGUCUUUGAACGCACAUUGCGCCCCCUGGUAUUCCGGGGGGCAUGCCUGUCCGAGCGUCAUUGCUGCCCUCAAGCACGGCUUGUGUGUUGGGCCCCGUCCUCCGAUCCCGGGGGACGGGCCCGAAAGGCAGCGGCGGCACCGCGUCCGGUCCUCGAGCGUAUGGGGCUUUGUCACCCGCUCUGUAGGCCCGGCCGGCGCUUGCCGAUCAACCCAAUUUUUUAUCCAGGUUGACCUCGGAUCAGGUAGGGAUACCCGCUGAACUUAAGCAUAUCAAUAAGCGGAGGA